rnacentral:lncRNA from 1 species
UACCAACCAAAUUUUUACUCGAAGUUUCGGAUUUUAAUUUUUGAAUUGCCAUAAUGGUAUUUCCCACAAUGCAAACUAUCGUAAUAAGUAUUAAAGCAGUCCCAUAAAUAGCCCCUAUUACUCGAAAAAAUAUUAUAUUUGUCACUUUGGAUAACUGCGUAUUGGAUAUGCUCAUUGUACCUAAAGGAAAAGUCAUAGCCCACCAGGCAACAGUAAACUUGUGCCUGAAUCCAUAGUUAAUUACGGAGAACACUGCAAAGAAUGUAAAAAAGUAUCCAAAAGAAAUUAGAAAUAAAGACAAUAUUAACGAUUGAACUAACACGCAAUUUGAAUAAAAUUCAAUCAUCGGAAUUUGCUGAUAAUAUGAAAGCGCAAAGGUUUUCGCGUUAAUUGCUUGCAUAAUAAUACCAAAUGCUCCUUGUCCUAACACUCCAAUUGGAACAAAUUGGGUGAAUAUCAGAGCUCGAGCUGGAACCUUAAAAAAAAUCAUUCUCCAAAGUAUGCAAGCAAUUAUACAAAAGCCUAAAGCAAUCGCAUUUGACCAGCAAAUAAAUGAUGUGACAAUUGUAUUUAAGAUUAUUUUCUUGUUUAAACGGGUAGAAAAGGUUUCAAUAACAACAGAACCUGUAGAUGCUGCAACAGUUAACGGUACAAUGGGUAGCAAAAUGGUCGGCAAAAACGUAGAAAAUUCAAUUUUCGCCCUUUUUGUUAAAAUUGUAGAGAAAAUAACCCACGCAGUGAAAAAAGACAUGGCUACACUAAAUAUCCAAAGGAUAUAUAAAAAAUUGAUCCAACCUUGUGGUGAUGACUGGCUACUCAAAAAGCACAGCAUAUUAAUACAACUUUGGAAUCCCAUGGUAUAGCAACCUAAAAAUAGUGUA